GAUGAACGCUGGCGGCGUGCCUAAUACAUGCAAGUCGAGCGAACGGACGAGAAGCUUGCUUUUCUGAUGUUAGCGGCGGACGGGUGAGUAACACGUGGAUAACCUACCUAUAAGACUGGGAUAACUUCGGGAAACCGGAGCUAAUACCGGAUAAUAUUUUGAACCGCAUGGUUCAAAAGUGAAAGACGGUCUUGCUGUCACUUAUAGAUGGAUCCGCGCUGCAUUAGCUAGUUGGUAAGGUAACGGCUUACCAAGGCAACGAUGCAUAGCCGACCUGAGAGGGUGAUCGGCCACACUGGAACUGAGACACGGUCCAGACUCCUACGGGAGGCAGCAGUAGGGAAUCUUCCGCAAUGGGCGAAAGCCUGACGGAGCAACGCCGCGUGAGUGAUGAAGGUCUUCGGAUCGUAAAACUCUGUUAUUAGGGAAGAACAGAUGUGUAAGUAACUGUGCACAUCUUGACGGUACCUAAUCAGAAAGCCACGGCUAACUGCGU
rnacentral:rRNA from 1 species